CUUUCGCUGGGAACCACUCAGAUUCCUGUCACUUCUCAGAAUCCCUCCGUGGUGGCCAUGGCUCUGCCUCCGUUCUUCACCCCGGGUCGCCCGGGCCCGCCGCUCCCGCAGCCGCCGGCUCCCGCUCCCUUCGGCUGUCCGCCACCGCCGCUACCCUCUCCGGCUUUCCCACCGCCUCUUCCCCAGCGGCCUGGUCCCUUUCCGGGGGCCUCCGCCCCCUUUCUCCAGCCCCCGCUGGCUCUGCAGCCCCGGGCCCCCGGGGAAGCCUCCCGCGGGGGCGGGGGCGGGGGCGGCGGCGGCGGCUCCUUCUACCAGGUGCCGCCACCGCCGCUCCCUCCCCCGCCGCCCCAGUGCCGGCCCUUCCUAGGGAACGACCCCGGUGAACGCCCGCGGCCGCCGCCUCCAGGCCCGGGGCCGCCCUGGAGCCCGCGCUGGCCUGAAGCACCGCCGCCGUCCGACGUGCUUGGGGACGCGGCCCUGCAGCGCCUGCGCGACCGGCAGUGGCUAGAGGCGGUGUUCGGAACCCCGCGGCGGGCCUGCCCGGUGCCCCCGCGCGCGCCCGCCGGCCCCAACCUGGGCGAGGUUCGGGCUCGGUUGCGCGGGUCCCUGCGCCUGGUGCGGCGGCUGCGCGACCUGGGCCAUGCGCUGCGCGAGGCCGAGGCUGACGGCGUGGCCUGGGCACAGCUGCAUGCGGAGGCACAGCCGCUGCGCGCCGAGCUGUCCGAGCGACUUCAGCUCCUGACCCAGGCAGCCUAUGUGGGCGAGGCGCGGCGCAGGCUGGAGAGGGUCCGGCGCCGCCGGCUGCGGCUUCGCGAGAGGGCCCGGGAACGCGAGGCCGAGCUGGAGGCGGAGGCCACGCGGGCAGCGGAGCGCGAGCAGGAGAUUGACCGCUGGAGGGUCAAGUGCGUGCAGGAGGUGGAGGAGAAGAAGCGGGAGCAGGAACUUAAAGCUGCUGCUGAUGGUGUCCUAUCUGAAGUGAGGAAAAAACAAGCAGACACCAAAAGAAUGGUGGACAUUCUUCGGGCCUUGGAGAAAUUGAGGAAACUCAGGAAAGAGGCUGCAGCAAGGAAAGGGGUCUGUCCUCCAGCCUCAGCAGAUGAGACCUUUGAGCAUCACCUUCAGCGACUGAGAAAACUCAUUAAAAAACGCUCUGAAUUAUAUGAAGCUGAAGAGAGAGCCCUCAGAGUUAUGUUGGAAGGAGAACAAGAGGAAGAGAGGAAAAGAGAAUUAGAGAAGAAACAGAGGAAAGAAAAAGAGAAAUUUUUACUACAGAAGCGUGAAAUUGAGUCCAAGUUAUUUGGGGAUCCAGAUGAGUUCCCACUUGCUCACCUCUUGCAGCCUUUCCGGCAGUAUUACCUCCAGGCUGAGCACUCCCUGCCAGCACUCAUCCAGAUAAGUUCCUUAUGAGUUUAUAGAAUGUUUCCAAGUUUGAAGCAUGCCACACACGUCUUGUUUAGUCCUCAUCAGUUCUUGAGAAGUAGAUGUCCCUAUUUUAACAGGUGAAGACACUGAAACUCAGGUUGUGACUUGCCCUCUGUAUUAUCCCAUGCUAUAGCUGUUAUGUUGACUUAAAUCAUUGACUUCCUUUUCCUAAUUCUCUUCUGCUGCUAAACAGACCAAGGAAAAGAAACCCUCCCUGUAUACUCACCUGUGGAGACUGUUAACAAAGACCCACACUGACUUGUGAGUUCUUACACGUCAAAGCCAAGAGAGCUAGGAACAAGGAGUCUCACCUUAAUCUGCAGUUACUAAUGAGCUAGGCAUGAUUGGGAUCAGUACCUGGUGCCAUCUGAUCAUCCCAAAGGCAACUCCGUUCCCCAAGGAUGGGUUCUUCCCCCGCUCCCCAGCAACGACAUCUGGGCAACCGCCAUUAAGCUGCAUUAGUAAAGAUGCUCCAGGAGUGUCGUCCAGCCAAGGCUCUUUCCAGCUCUAAGUAUUAGUGACGCUGCCAUCUUCUUGUACUGUAGUAUAAAUCACAACCUCUAAACUCCACGUGGCAUUGCCCUACCCAGAAGUUACGUUUUCCUUCUGUCCUCUGUCCUGGCCAAGGUGCCUCUUGAAUCAGGAGAUUAAUAUGGUUCCUCAGGAAAGGACCUAGGUGAACUGAGGUUUUUACAACAGGCAGUGGCCUUGGUUCAUGAAAUUCGCCUCUGUUUUGAGGGGCUUGGUCCAGAUUGAUUUAUAAGUUUACUUUUAUCUUUCUUGUGUGGUGAUAGAUAAGUAUACGCUAUACACUCAUACCCUCGACACAGGUGUGCACUGGGUAGAUUUAGCAGUCCCUUCCCCAGUACUCCUUGUUAAAGCAAGCUUGAUGCAAAACCUCCUUACCUUUCUUACCCAGAGAGCCUCCUAACUUCCAGGAAGAAAGGCCAGAAAUGCUUUAUCUUCAGUUUUGUGAAUCCCACUUUUGGUGCAGCUGGAGAGGCUGGGCUGCCAGAAAAGCUGGUGGCCUUGUCUGGUAGUCAAGUGGAGAACUUGGAAAACCUGAAGAGUACCUGUACCCAAACUGGAUUGUGUUUUAAUGGCGGAUGGCUGCAUUUUCCCCAUAUUAGAAGGAUCCUAAUGAAAGCACCUGCUUUUUAAGUUCCUAGAGGUCUGGUUGUUCAGAAUCUGCAAGGAUAAAAAUUAAUUUCCUUAUGGGAGUGGGACCUUGAUUAACCUCACUCAGUCACAUUGUGGGAGCUGGUAUAGUGGAAAUUGUGGAAUUUUCUUAGGAACUCAAGCUUCCAAAAAUAUACAUGUAAUUUAAGCUGGGGGAAAAGCAGAUAAAAAUAAUAAAAUUUAUUUUUUUAUACUCAUUAAUAAAUGCUGUUGUGCCUGGAGAUGAUCAGUCAUAUAACAUGUCAGGUUUUUUGUUUUAUUUUGUUUUCCUUUUUGCCAUUUAUUGUGUUAUUUAUAUUUCCAAAAAGCUAAAUAAAUAUCAUUUUUAGUUUGA